rnacentral:lncRNA from 1 species
GUGUGUCCUCCUGCAGCGGCUCCAGGUUCCUCACCUGUCUGCUGUGUCUCUGCAGAGGCUCUAGUCACUGUGGUGGAAGUCGAAUCCGACCAAGAAGACAGCAAAGCUCUCCCACCUAGGAUUAUAGACUGGAUCAAACAGGGAAUAGAGAAAGUUGUUCCCCAGCCUGAGAUCUACAUUAGAGCGAAAAUAGACGAGGACCAACAACCUGAGCCUUCCGCAACUGGAAAAGACAUGGCCCCUCCAACUAGAAAAGCAUCGGAUACAGACAAGUCCACUGUGGAAGUUGAGCAGCAGCCAAAUGUAAUGGGAUGGAUCAUCAGUGGGAUCAGUCGCAUGUUGCCUCAGCCCGUCAUCAGGCCGACACAGCAAGUCCCGACUGAUGAAGUGCAAAGCAUCGUCCAAAAGAAAGGUGAUUUGGUGCUGGAGGACGUGGACGAACACCAGGCAGAACAGGAAGUGAUGGACAAACCUCAGUCACACAACAAAGAGGUUCUGCAGCCAUUGGACAAGAAUAAGGAGCAGAUGGAUCCCCUGAUGGAGAGAAUAAAGAAGGAGACAGAGGAGGAGGUUCAGGCUCAGGUGGAGGAAAGGCUGCAGCAGGAGCGACUGGAAGCUGCCCUCGUGGCAGAGGAAGUGGCUCGACGUGCUGCAGAGGAUGCAGUGAGACAGCUGGAGGCGGAGCAACUGGCAACGGUGGUCACCGACGUCCUGCCAGAGAGCAACGAGCAAUUACCAAACAUCCAGGAGGAGAACGAGGAUGAUCCAGAUGGGCUGGUGGUUGAGGCUGAAGCUGAAGCUGUGACUCAGGUGGAGAUCAUCGAGUCUUUAUCUUCUCCCAUUAAAUCUGAAGUGGCUCCUGCUUCAGUGGAACCGCCCAGAUCUGAGAAGAGAGAGCCGGAGGGCCCGGCCCCCCCACCAGUCUGCCAACAGCCUGAACAACAACUAACUCAUGAAGCUGCGCCCACCACCACAGACAAGGUAAGAUGUCCAAGAGAAAAAUACAUGUUCAGAGAUAAAAUUCAAUCAUUUCUACUGUUAGUUCACAUCCUAUAGCCUAGUUUGGCCACAAUGGAGCAAAUGAUUAAUUACAAACAGAAAUGCAUCAGUAUAUAAAAUCAAACAAGGAGAAAAUGGGGAAAAGACGAUAGAAUAUGAAUAGUAGCCAAAAACAAUAUUUUUUUUAAGCGAAAAAAAUGAUA